rnacentral:misc_RNA from 1 species
GAAAUGCGAUACGCAAUGCGAAUUGCAGAACGCGAGUCAUCAGAUCUUUGAACGCAAGUGGCGCCGGUUAGCAGCCGGCAUGUGGUGCUCAGUGUGUUUCGGAAAUCCUACACGCGGAAUGUGGUUGAAGGCGGCGGGCUUCACGGCUCCUGCUUUCUCCCAUUAAACUCGCGCUGGACCGGCGGGCGGAUCUCCCUACAAAACCGUCUCUCGGCACUGGCUCCCAGCCCGGAAGUAGUCACUAGCACUCUAGUGAUCUACGGGCCUGGGGGAUACAAACUGGUGCUCCGAGUAGGCUUGGGCAGUCUGCUCGCCUUACGCCGUCCACGGAAUGUUUUACACAACACUUCCCAUCCUACACCUGAGCUCCGCAAGAUCACCCGCUGAACUUAA